CCUACGGGUGGCAGCAGUGAGGAAUAUUGGUCAAUGGGCGAGAUUCUGAACCAGCCAAGCCGCGUGAGGGAAGAAGGUACUCUGGGUUGUAAACUUCUUUUGUCAGGGAACACAAACUGGGACGCGUCCCCGCGUGCGUGUACCUGAAGAAAAAGCAUCGGCUCACUCCGUGCCAGCAGCCGCGGUAAUACGGGGGAUGAGAGCGUUGUCCGGAUUUAUUGGGUUUAGAGGGUGCGCAGGGGGUCUGUUAAGUCAGCGGUAAAAUCCCGGGCCUCAACCCCGCCGGGCCGUUGAAACUGGCAGUCUUGAGUUGGAGAGAAGGACGCGGAAUGCGCGGUGUAGCGGUGAAAUGCAUAGAUAUCGCGCAGAACUCCGAUGGCGAAGGCAGCUUGCCGGCCCCACACUGACGCUGAGGCACGAAAGCGUGGGGAUCGAACAGGAUUAGAUACCCCAGUAGUC
rnacentral:rRNA from 1 species